ACUGAACGCUGGCGGCAGGCUUAACACAUGCAAGUCGAACGAGUGGCGGACGGGUGAGUAAUGCUUGGGAAUCUGGCUUAUGGAGGGGGAUAACUACGGGAAACUGUAGCUAAUACCGCGUACCAUAGGAUUAGCCCAAGUGGGAUUGGGUAGUUUGUGGGGUAAAGGCUCACCAGGCCGACGAUCUCUAGCUGGUCUGAGAGGAUGACCGGACACAUGGGAACUGAGACACGGCCCAGCCUCCUACGGGAGGAGGCAGUGGGGAAUAUUGCGCAAGGGGGGAAACCUGACGCAGCAAUGCCGCGUGAAUGAAGAAGGCCUUCGGGUUGUAAAGUUCUUUCGGUAGCGAGGCGUUAACUACAGAGAAAGCACCGGCUAACUCCGUGCCAGCAGCCGCGGUAAUUC
rnacentral:rRNA from 1 species